rnacentral:rRNA from 1 species
GACGAACGCUGGCGGCGUGCUUAACACAUGCAAGUCGAACGUGAUUUUUGUGGAAAUUCUUUCGGGAAUGGAAAUGAAAUGAAAGUGGCGAACGGGUGAGUAACACGUGAGCAACCUACCUUACACAGGGGGAUAGCCGUUGGAAACGACGAUUAAUACCGCAUGAGACCACAGAAUCGCAUGAUAUAGGGGUCAAAGAUUUAUCGGUGUAAGAAGGGCUCGCGUCUGAUUAGCUAGUUGGAAGGGUAAAGGCCUACCAAGGCGACGAUCAGUAGCCGGUCUGAGAGGAUGAACGGCCACAUUGGAACUGAGACACGGUCCAAACUCCUACGGGAGGCAGCAGUGGGGAAUAUUGCACAAUGGGGGGAACCCUGAUGCAGCGACGCCGCGUGAGCGAAGAAGGUUCUCGAAUCGUAAAGCUCUGUCCUAUGAGAAGAUAAUGACGGUAUCAUAGGAGGAAGCCCCGGCUAAAUACGUGCCAGCAGCCGCGGUAAUACGUAUGGGGCGAGCGUUGUCCGGAAUUAUUGGGCGUAAAGGGUACGUAGGCGGUUUUUUAAGUCAGGUGUGAAAGCGUGAGGCUUAACCUCAUUAAGCACUUGAAACUGGAAGACUUGAGUGAAGGAGAGGAAAGUGGAAUUCCUAGUGUAGCGGUGAAAUGCGUAGAUAUUAGGAGGAAUACCGGUGGCGGAGGCGACUUUCUGGACUUUUACUGACGCUCAGGUACGAAAGCGUGGGGAGCAAACAGG